UAGGGAAUCUUCCACAAUGGACGAAAGUCUGAUGGAGCAACGCCGCGUGAGUGAAGAAGGGUUUCGGCUCGUAAAACUCUGUUGUUAAAGAAGAACAUAUCUGAGAAUAACUGUUCAGGUAUUGACGGUAUUUAACCAGAAAGCCACGGCUAACUACGCGCCAG
rnacentral:rRNA from 1 species